UUAGAGUUUGAUCCUGGCUCAGGAUGAACUCUAGCGGCAGGCCUAAUACAUGCAAGUCGAACGGUAAACGCCCUUCGGGGCGUGAGAGUGGCGCACGGGUGCGUAACGCGUAUGCAACCCACCCCCUGCAGGGGUAUAGCCCGGAGAAAUCCGGAUUAACCCCCCAUGAGGAGCGGGAGAGGCAUCUCUCCCGUUUCAAAACUACGGUGGCGGGGGACGGGCAUGCGUCCCAUUAGGUAGUCGGCGGGGCAACGGCCCACCGAGCCUGUGAUGGGUAGGGGAUCUGAGAGGACGGUCCCCCACACUGGUACUGAGACACGGACCAGACUCCUACGGGAGGCAGCAGUAAGGGAUAUUGGUCAAUGGGCGGUAGCCUGAACCAGCCAUGCCGCGUGAGGGAUGAAGGCCCUACGGGUCGCAGACCUCUUUUGCCGGGGGAUAACGUGCCCAACGCGUUGGGCAGUGAAGGUACCCGGAGAAUAAGCAUCGGCUAACUCCGUGCCAGCAGCCGCGGUAAUACGGAGGAUGCGAGCGUUAUCCGGAUUUAUUGGGUUUAAAGGGUGCGCAGGCGGCGUGCUAAGUCAGCGGUGAAAGGCGACGGCUCAACCGGAGCAGUGCCGUUGAUACUGGCGUGCUUGAAUGCGGUCGAGGCCGGCGGAAUGUGGCGUGUAGCGGUGAAAUGCAUAGAUAUGCCACAGAACCCCGAUAGCGAAGGCAGCUGGCCGGGCCUGCAUUGACGCUGAGGCACGAAAGCGUGGGGAUCGAACAGGAUUAGAUACCCUGGUAGUCCACGCCGUAAACGAUGGACACUCGUCGUCGGCACCAGACAUUCGGCGCACAAGCGAAAGUGAUAAAGUGUCCCACCUGGGGAGUACGGUCGCUAGGCUGAAAACUCAAAGGAAUUGACGGGGGCCCGCACAAGCAGUGGAGCAUGUGGUUUAAUUCGAUGAUACGCGAGGAACCUUACCCGGGUUAGAACGCAGUUCGAACGACGCGGAGACGCGGAGGCCCUUCGGGGCGGGCUGCGAGGAACAGCAUGGUAGUCGUCAGCUCGUGCCGUGAGGUGUCAGGUCAAGUCCUAUAACGAGCGCAACCCCUACCCUCGGUUGCCAAGGGGUCGAGCUGGGCACUCCGGGGGCACUGCCCGCGCAAGCGGCGAGGAAGGCGGGGAUGACGUCAAAUCAGCACGGCCCUUACGUCCGGGGCGACGCACGUGCUACAAUGGCACGCACAGAGGGGAGCCACGCGGCGACGCGGAGCGGAUCCCGAAAGCGCGUCUCAGUCCGGAUCGGAGUCUGCAACCCGACUCAGUGAAGCUGGAAUCGCUAGUAA
rnacentral:rRNA from 1 species